AUUGAACGCUGGCGGCAGGCCUAACACAUGCAAGUCGAGCGGAUGAAGGGAGCUUGCUCCUGGAUUCAGCGGCGGACGGGUGAGUAAUGCCUAGGAAUCUGCCUGGUAGUGGGGGAUAACGUCCGGAAACGGGCGCUAAUACCGCAUACGUCCUGAGGGAGAAAGUGGGGGAUCUUCGGACCUCACGCUAUCAGAUGAGCCUAGGUCGGAUUAGCUAGUUGGUGGGGUAAAGGCCUACCAAGGCGACGAUCCGUAACUGGUCUGAGAGGAUGAUCAGUCACACUGGAACUGAGACACGGUCCAGACUCCUACGGGAGGCCGCAGUGGGGAAUAUUGGACAAUGGGCGAGAGCCUGAUCCAGCCAUGCCGCGUGUGUGAAGAAGGUCUUCGGAUUGUAAAGCACUUUAAGUUGGGAGGAAGGGCAGUAAGUUAAUACCUUGCUGUUUUGACGUUACCAACAGAAUAAGCACCGGCUAACUUCGUG
rnacentral:rRNA from 1 species